CAUGACUGGGCCAAAAAGAACUUGGCAGCAAGUAAAAGUCAAAUACAAGAACAUCUUGCAGAAUGGUAAGUGCCCCCCUGACUAAUACUUACACAAGUGUACAUUGUACCCAGAAGGUGCCUGCUCACACAAAUUAUGUACUGUUUUAGCCGUCAAAAAGAGAGGCCAAAUACAAAGUACGGGUGGUGGGUCACCUCCCACCGCCCUCACCCCAGCCGAAGACAUGGCCUUAUCACAAAAUAAAGGCAGGCCAGUUUUGGAGGGGAUCCUUGGGGGAACAGAAACAAAUGCAUGUCCCUCGCAAGAGGCUAACCGCUUCAUACAAGUUUCUGGCAGCACCAUCUCCUUGCUGGAGCCACCAAUGCCAGAUGAUGAUGAUGAUGAUGAUGAUGAUGAUCCAAAUUCACAAAGAAUAAGGCAGCUGUAUGGCCAACAUCUGCAGCGCCAUAUUGAGCUGUCCAACAUUGAAAUUCAAUAUAAAAAAAAACAAAUGGAAGACCUUGCUUUGGAGGCCCAAAUAAAAAGAAGAAAAUUAAAGAAAUUGGACCUCCAAAUCCAGAAACUUGAGAGGGAGCUCCAAGAAGAGGACACAUUUUAACAAUUAAAAGUUCAAAUGGAAUUCUGGUGGUGUCCUUUUUUAAUAUAUGUACAGUUGAGGCUACUAUAGCUGUGUUAGAUGUUGAAUCACUGGCUGUUUUAUAAAGGCUAGUAGAAAGCCACUAAAUGUACCCUGAAAUGCAAUUUCCCAGACAUAUCCAAACACUUUAUGGCAAAAAAGCGAGUAGAUGGAACAGUUUUGACUAGUCUUUAAGGUAGUGGGUAUCAUGAUAACUAAAACAUUUGCAGCUUGUGAGGUGUGAGGGUGUAAAGGUGUUCCUCGUAAAGCCAAGUGGGCCAAUAGCCUACAUGAAGGCCCGAAAUGGUGCGUUCCUUCCUGCUCUAACAAUGGCGUGCCCAUUUCUUCCUGAGAUAGAAGAUGAAGAGGCACUUGUCCUCAGAAGAGCUUUCAGAUGAGAGAGGGUCUUCAGGGACCGUUUGGACCCGCUAGCCUUCCCUGAUGACCACCUGUAUGAGCGCUACAGAUUCUCUGCAGGUGGCAUCAGUUACCUGUGCAGGCUGUUGAACCCCAAACUCAAACGCCACACAGCACGAAGCCGGGCUCUGAGUGUAGAGCAAAUGGUCUGUGUGGCCUUGCGUUUCUUUGCGAGUGGGGGUUUCCUGUAUUCUAUUGGCGAUGCCGAAAGGCUACACAAGGCCACAAUUUGCUGUGUCGUUAGGGAUGUGUGUCUGGCCAUUAAAUCCCUGGCAGAUGUGUUCAUCACAUUCCCUGGACACGAAAGACUCCAGCACAUCAAAGAGGGGUUUUAUAGAAUUGCAGGUGAGAGAAACUACAAAUCACAGGACAACUGUUAACAGUCAUAUUGAAAUACUUGUUGCAUUGUGUUAGAGGUUUCCCCAAUGUCAUUGGUGUAUUGGACUGCACUCGCAUUCGUAUCAAAGCCCCUUCAGGUGCACAUGAGGCAGAUUUUGUGAACAGGAAGUCCUUUCACAGCAUUAAUGUUCAGAUGGUCUUCAAUGCAGACUAUGUGAUUUCAAAUGUUGUGGCAAAGUGGCCCGGCUCAGUCCAUGACUCCAGGAUCUUUAGGACCUCUGGAAUAUACCAGCGCCUCUCACAAGGUGAUUUCUCUGGUGUGUUGCUGGGGGACAGGGGGUAUGCCUGCCAGUCUUUCCUCCUGACUCCAUACUCAGACCCCCAGGAAGCACAGCAGGCCUACAAAUAUUGCCCAUGCCAGGACAAGGGCCAGGAUUGAGAUGACCUUUGGCCUCCUGAAGGCACGCUUUCAUUGCCUUCACAAAUUAAGAGUCAGCCCUUUGAGGGCAUGUGACAUCACUGUAGCCUGUGCUGUCCUCCACAACGUGGCCUGCCUGAGGAAGGAGAGGGCCCCCAGAGUGCCGUCACACCUGGACUGGGACAAUCCUGCCAUGUUCCCUGAUGACGACAGUGGUCGGCUGGUCAGGGACCAAUAUGUGUUGAAUUACUUUAGCUAACAUGCUUUAAAUUUCAGUUAUAUAUGGCCUGCAGUGGCAGAGACAUAUAUAUAUUCAAAUUUGAAUUAAUUUGACCUCUUAUAAUUGCACUGUAUAUUGUGUAUACAAGCUUGUAGGGAGGCUACUGCGUGCAUUAAUUUGUCUGUUAAUUUGUUGUGUAUGGAUUUGGCCUGCAUUUAUUUCAGUGUGCAGACAUUAUAUACAGACUGAUUGUGUAUGCAUUAUUUUGUUGUAUGCUUUUGAUUCCAUGCUUUCUAUCUUGUAGAGUCACUGUGUGGCUUCAGUUUUGAAAGGAGCUGAUGGUUUAC